UAUAAGUAUUUGUGUGUAUUGAGAACACUGAAAACUAAACAAUAAUUUGGAGUUAAACGCCUGAGUUAAACUGACAUAAAGCAAAGAUGCAUAUUUCAGCGGAUCACUUCCUAGAUCAGACGUUAUUUAAUUUCACAGCGGAUUUUUCCGGAAACUCAAUUAUGUGCCUGUCGAAACUUCUGUGUACAUUGAUCAAUAAAGCACAUAAAUCAGCAUCUUAAGCAAAAUCGUCACCCUUCUGCCAUUUUCUAAAUUUUAUUUAUGACUUAUACAAUUUAAGUACUUAAUAGCAUACCUUCUUCUUUCGCUCUCUUCUAUCUGACGUCAUCUCACAAGUAUCAUUUUUUCCAGUUAUAUCACUUUUCACACAAUCCAUCCUUCGUUUCUUUCUCAGUAUCCAUGUCCAUGCUAAAGAACUACCCCAUUGUAGGAUUCUCAUUCGUGUGCAUCUCAUGCCCAUACCAUACAUAGGCGGUUUUCCCAUAAUUUUUGGAUUAUCGGUGUUAACACUGCCUCUUUCAAACUUCCUCUUAGCGACACAGGUGCUCAUUCAUUACUCUAUCCAUGUGCCUAACACUCUAAUACUCUUAUUAUUCUCUUCUGCCCAGCAUGCCAUUCUUUCAUUCUGCCCUUUUGUGGCCCAGUACUCUAAGCCAUACAGGACAUCGUGGUCUUAUAGGUUGAAAAUGAUGGUAAUAGACCAAAUCAAGGAUGUUCAAUAAGAUCUUGUGUAACUGGUCUACUGAAUUUGCUUGUUAAUGAUAUUGAGAAAAUAUCAACAAAAUAAAACCGAUGCGAUAGGACUAUUUUGUUGCGUAAACACCUUCAUUAACUGAUAAGCAUGUAAAUAAAAUUAUUAAGUGUUUAUUUUGACUGCGAAUUGCUCCAAAUUUACUUACUAAUGUUUUUAUACUUUUGUGUUUACAAACUAAUGAUAAUUCGCAGAAGACCAAUUUAUUUUCGUGCCAAGCUUAUGUCAACAUACUUCUGUAGGUAUAUUAUGCAUCGUAUGGGCGCAGUGGCGCGCUGUCUUCGAACAUAACUACAUACCUAUUUGAUUCCGAGAAUGUGGUUACCUACAUCAUUUGACCUUAUUAAAAAUCUGGAUCCAGCUCCAGCAGAGCGCGACUGUGUUUGGCAACACAACAGCAGCGGACUCGGCGGCACAUCAUAAUGACAUAAUUGGCAGGGGGGAGCGCAGGCGCGCGGCGGUGCGGGGAGCGACGCGCGACGCAUGCGCGGGUUUGACGGCCAAGGUCGAGGCCGAGCGAUUCUGCCGCGCACCGCCGCGUUGGUAGGUUCUUCUCGCGCGCCCUCUUUCUCGAAACGACUUCUGAGGGACAAAUGCGCAUAAAUCGCCGCGAGUGCCCUGUAUCCUGCCCUUCAGCACCGUCCCGGACUCACCAGAACAAGACGAGGAAACCUCCCAGAUAGCAGCCUGAAUAUUCUACGAUGAAAAUCGUGGCUAAGCAAAGGUAAGAGGAUUUUUACUUCUUUUAACGGUACAUAAAAAAUAAGCUAUUUAGAUAGAUAUUCAAACAUCAAGUCUAAGUACCCUUUUCCUAUUACGUCACGGGCACCUCUAUUACGUCAGUAAGGUUUUAAAAGCGAAAAAAUGGGCUUAAUAUUUUUUCUUACCCAACGCUAAUUAUUAUCUAUGUAUACUUUUUUAUAUUACAAUUCAUAUUUACAUUCUAUAAGAAAUCAGGAAUGUAACAACGAAACAACAAAGAUAUCAAAUAAUAAAUUACAACAUUCAGUAAAACAAUACAAUAAUUGGUCAUUUACAUGUACAUAGCGUAAUUAUUAUACAAAGACAUUUAAUAUUACUAAAA
rnacentral:lncRNA from 1 species